rnacentral:rRNA from 1 species
CCUACGGGGGGCUGCAGUGGGGAAUAUUGGACAAUGGGCGAAAGCCUGAUCCAGCCAUGCCGCGUGUGUGAAGAAGGCCUUCGGGUUGUAAAGCACUUUCAGUGGGGAAGAAAGCCUUGGGGCUAAUACCCUCGAGGAAGGACAUCACCCACAGAAGAAGCACCGGCUGAACUCCGUGCCAGCAGCCGCGGUAAUACGGAGGGUGCGAGCGUUAAUCGGAAUUACUGGGCGUAAAGCGCGCGUAGGCGGUCUGAUAAGCCGGUUGUGAAAGCCCCGGGCUCAACCUGGGAACGGCAUCCGGAACUGUCAGGCUAGAGUGCAGGAGAGGAAGGUAGAAUUCCCGGUGUAGCGGUGAAAUGCGUAGAGAUCGGGAGGAAUACCAGUGGCGAAGGCGGCCUUCUGGACUGACACUGACGCUGAGGUGCGAAAGCGUGGGUAGCAAACAGGAUUAGAUACCCUAGUAGUC